CGGCGCGGGUCGGCUCCGCUCCGCGUCCUCCGGGGCGGGGCAGGGCAGGGCAGGGCAGGGCAGGGCAGGCAGCCGCGGCGGCCCUGGCGUAGCGAAACGCGCGGCUGCGGGCAGCCCCGCCGUUCGCGGGCGGUCGCGGUGCGGAGCGUGUCCGGCAGCCCCGCGCAGGGCCUCCGCGGGGUUGCUCACGCCACGCUUAACGCCCUGAUUUACAAGCGUUUGAGUAUCUUCUGCUUAAGAAUGAAGAUAAAGCUUUGGACAGGCAGCUGGGGGCUUUCCGCGAUGGACCGGCGCUGCGGAAAGCUGCCCGCGCGGCGGAGCCCGGGCUGGCUCCCGAGCUGGCUCCCGGGCAGCUGCCCGGAGGAAGGGGCUGCAAGGCGGCGCCUUCUGCUGCUCCUCCUAACACGGACUAGAGCUGCCCGGAGCUUCCGAUGGAGACCAGCGCCUAUGGAAAGGCUUCACCAGCUGCCUACAGCUGGACAGAAAAAAGAUACCAAAGAAAACAAAGGAAAAGAAGCAAUUUUCCCCAAAUUAUUCAUUACGGGAUUGCCAUCCUGCAAGGCUCGAAAUGCCAGCGUUCCCUUCAGCUCCCUGUAAGCUUUCCCUCACCCUUGCGCAAGAACGGCUCUUUGGCACCUACGGACGCAGGAGCAGCCCCUGACCCGUCGUCUGAGGGGGCCGCCGGCUCAGCAGCUACCGUGCAUGCUGGCAGCUACCAUGCAUGCUGGCAGGGGCGACCUGCGGCAUUAACAGAGGCCACAGGGGCGAUAUGCAGCCCUCUGAUUUUUUUCUCUACGUGCAAGAUUCUCAAGAAACCUCUAGAUGAGACUGCCCCCACUCAAAUAACUUCGGUCUUGAUAAAUCCUGAGAAAAAAAGGGCUAUUAUGUUCUUAAUUGUGUCUUACUCAGUUUGGUGGUCUUAAUAGCCCACAUAUGUCUGUGUUACAAAUCAUGAAAAAGAUUCAGUGCCAAAUCUGAUGUAAAACUGUACAAGCUGAGUUCAAUAAAAGCUUGUCAUAAAUGCUAAUCAAACGUUUGUUAAUUGUACUAAAAUCUAAAUUCAUAACAUUGA